UACGGGGGGGGCGAGCGUUGCUCGGAAUUACUGGGCGUAAAGCGCGUGUAGGCGGCCUUUUAAGACCGGUGUGAAAGCCCGGGGCUCACCCCCGGCAGUGCAUCGAAUACUGGGAGGCUAGAGUACCGGAGAGGAGGGUGGAAUUCCUGGUGUAGCGGUGAAAUGCGUAGAUAUCAGGAGGAGCACCGGUGGCGAAGGCGGCCCUCUGGACGGAUACUGAAGCUGAGACGCGAAAGCGUGGGGAGCAAACAGG
rnacentral:rRNA from 1 species